rnacentral:rRNA from 1 species
UACGGGGGGAGCAAGCGUUGUUCGGAUUACUGGGCGUAAAGGGCGCGUAGGCGGCGCCGCAAGUCGACUGUGAAAUCUCCGGGCUUAACCCGGAAAGGUCAGCCGAUACUGCGGGGCUAGAGUGCAGAAGGGGCAACUGGAAUUCUCGGUGUAGCGGUGAAAUGCGUAGAUAUCGAGAGGAACACCUGCGGCGAAGGCGGGUUGCUGGGCUGACACUGACGCUGAGGCGCGAAAGCGUGGGGAGCAAACAG